UGAAACCACUGUUACGAAACAGAUUAUUUCCCAGCAGCCGUCAUUCGCACUCCAGCCCAGGCUGGGAUGCUGCUUGUUACGAGAGCCAUUACCGAGAAUGGAACAGGACCAGAAUAGAAAAGUCAGCAAAGUUGUUAUUUUCCUAAUUAAAAAAACACAUCCCAGUCCACUAAUGGUGCCAGGACACUCGCGUUCCUUCCGCUGGACAGGAGCCUGGGCAGCGCCUUCGUGCAGCGCUCGACCUCCAGCCCCCCCAGGGGGGUGAGCAUGCAUGUCCCCACAUAUGUGAAUACCCCUGCACAUCCCGGGGAGGCUGUGCACCCAAGGGUGGCUCCUUAUUCAGCUGUUUUCCCUUUGGGGAAGGUGUUGUAAGCUCAAGCUGAUUUUGUCGCAUGCGUUGGCUUUUGAAGCCACCGGGGAGAAGCGUGGGCAGAACGGGAGCAGGAGGGUGCUCCAAAAAUGUUUGGGGAAAAUGUUUGGUGUCCAAAAAUGUUUGGGAAACAUGUGCUGCAUGUGUGCAACUGAUGUCUACUUGUGCUGUGCUGAUGCACGCAGUUAUUUCCUUCAGUUACAUCUGUAGGUACGUGAGUCGAGAGAGCAGCGGUGAGAUUAGAUUUUUAUGAGGUUCUUGCUCUGUUUUGCAUGGCUCCUCUCCUGCAUGCUCCCAUCCUGCACAGGCUGUUGGGUGGUGCAGGCAGCACUGGGCAGCAUGUUUGCAGGCACACCAUGCUCAUUGUGCUGCACAGGGGGUGGUUUGCAUGCAGACCUGCAACCGAACUGCAGCAUAGCCUCCAGCCCAGACCUCGAAGGUCCUGACUGCUCGCCUAUCUGCCAAUUCUACAGGCCCCCAUCGACUACCAGCAGGUAGCACGGACCCAUUGGGGCAACCAAAAGGAGGAAGAGGAGGAGAUAAGUGCUGGGGAGGGAUGGGGUGAGCACCAAGGGGUGAUCUGUAAGGCUUUGGGGCUGGGGGAGUGCCUGGGAUGAGCCCUUGUGUCCCUGCGCCCAGCUGCUGCCAUGGGGCUCGUGUCAUGAGCGGUCAUUUUUGGGAAGGGAGGAGUUUGUAUCAGUGUGGCUGAAAAGCUGCCUUCUCACCACCUUUGUUGUUGUUGCUGUUGUUCACCUUGCCUAGUCUUCCAAAAAAAGGAUUGGAGGGAAUUGUUUAAAAAAAAAAAAAGAAAGAAAAAAAACCUCUCACUGUUUUUCCUGGCCAAAAAAUACUCUGAACAAACAAAUCUGCAAUGUAAACCUCCCCCUCCCCUCUGAAACUUUUAUGUACUUAAACGUCACUGUUCCAGCAAAUCCUAAUACCCAUGGUUUCUUUGACACCAAGUGACUCUGCUCAUGCUUGUUUUUCCUGGGAUGCCUUCAAGGUACGAGUCAUUAAACAAGCACUGCUUGAAGAUGCUGGCGUGCUGGCCACGUCUCGUUACGGAUGAGUAACAGGGAAGUUAAGUGAUUAGCAGCAAUUCCCACAUUAAUGAUGAAAAUGAUGGGGAAGGAGCAACGUUUUGGAGCACGGCAUGCCAGCUCAGUGACCUGGGGAGCAUUGGAUCCUCCUGAUGACAGAGCCUGCUUGGGGCAGGCGAUCAAAUCCCAGCCAUCAAGCAAGGCGCUCGCCCUCCCGCUGCCCUUUUUCCCUCUGCUGCUCCCAGGGGGUGCUGCUUGCUCCUGUGCUCUGCUCUGGAGCCUCGUUUCUCCCCCCCAGCACCUGCUUCUCACAAACUCCAUUGCUUUGAUGCAGUUGUUUUAAUCCCGUGGGUCUCACUGAUGAUUUACGUCUAGGCUGAGACCCAGAGGGAACGAGUUUGCCCUGAGGAAAAUUUGCCUUGGAAUGCACGUGGGGCAUUGGGACCAGAGGAGCAGCAGAGCCCCAGAGCUGAAGUCCUGGGGUGCAAUCCAGCUUCUCACAGGCUUAGUGAGCUUUGACAAGUCAACACAGCUCUUGCCAGCUCUCCUGCACAAAGGAGAACAUUAUUUUUUUUCUCUUUCCCCUUACACUUUCAAGAGUUUCUUUGGUUUGAUUUCUAGCAGGAAACAUCUGACAGGGAAACUGCUACGACUCCAGGCAAACCUCUUGUGCCCAUACACCAGCAGAGGAGGCUGUCCCAGCAGAGGAGCAGCCCAGGAGUUAUGGUAUGAUGACCAGGUGACGUACCUUGAGCCGCAGCUGUGUUUUGGCCACACCUGUAGGUGUUGAAGAUGCUGAUGUACCUGCCUAAAGCAUGAAGCUCUUCUGGAUUUCAUUUCCAUUGCAGGUAUCUUUCAAAUCGAGGGGAUGCUCGAAAGGACGACGUGGCAGCAGCGCAGUCACCACAAGACUCUCCGAAGAGAGAGCAAGAGCGAGGUGACAGCCAUCGCCUCCCUCCUGGGGCUGGGUCGUGGUGGGUUUUCCAUCUCUCUUCCUUACCAAUCCCAGAGCUGGAGUGACUACCCACUACAAAAUGCUUUCCACCACCAGGCAGCUCCCUCAGACCUCGUGUUUGGUGUUAUUAAUGAAAACCAUUGGCAGGGCAGCGUGUCGGCAGGCUCCAGGACGUGGUGUCCCCGAGGACUUGCCCUGGAGCAGUAAGAUCCCGUGCUCUCGGUGUCUCCUCCUGUAACCCUACCUCUGGCGGGCCAUGUAAACCCCUCUUGGAUCGCUGAUUGGACAUAAAUCUCCCCAAAACCGCGAUGCUUACCAAAGAUUAUCACAUGAUUGAGACAUAAAUCCCACGUCAGCUCAGCGAAAUAUCUGCGGCGAUGGAGUUAAACGAGUCAAGACAGCUCCUUAACCAUUCCCAAACAUUAAAACGCAGACGAGGAGCACACGAGGAGCAGCACAGCCGAGAUGCUUUCGGAGCAGCCAUUUAUCACUUUUGUACAACCAGACAUAAACAGGGCUAUGGCUUCUGGCUCUGCCUUGAGCUUCCAGGCAAGGUGAUACAGAGGCUGGAGGGGCUGCGUGGUUGCAGGCUGGGGAUUUGGGGUGGCAUCAUUGCUGCUGCAGAAAGGAGAGGGCUGCUGCUGGAUGGUGCCAUGGCUUCUGCUGCUUCCACUGCCCAGAGGUAAUCUUCCCAGGGUAGGGAUGGAGAUGUGGGGAACUGUGAGAGCUGGGCAGCUCCGAAAACCCACAAUGAGAUAUGAAAUCAAAUACUGUGUGUCAUUAUGGCUAAGUAACAAGAAAAGUUUGUUUGUUUUCCUGAGUAAGA